CUGCGGGCACUUUGAUGAAUCACGUGUGUGGAGGCCCUCUUAAAGAGAUAGGCACCUACUUUCCCUCCACCCUAAACACCGCCCUGAGGGCGGCGGCGGCGGCGGCGACCGGGAUAAUAGCAGCCGCUCAGGGGCAGGGCUUGCCCCAGCGCAGAAUAGUGGCAACGGCGUGUCGCGUCGGGGGUGCCUGGGAGCCGGGGGCCUCAGGGACGUGAGAUCGGCAGCUCCCCAGACAGACCCACUCUCCCUCCCGGAAAGAGGUGCUGCCGAAUCUGCGCGGGGCAGCUGGACCGCCCCGAGGGGCUUCCUCAGUGGAGGAGAGGUGGGGUUCCAGGGCACAGGUGACAGGGCCGGAGAAAGAUGGAGCAGCUCGGGGCGGCGGCGGCGGCGGGCGCGGGAGGCGGCGGCGAGGAACCCAGUGGGGGCCGAAGCAACAAGCGGAGCGCGGGGAACCGGGCCGCCAACGAAGAGGAAACGAAAAACAAACCAAAAUUGAACAUUCAAAUAAAAACUUUGGCAGAUGAUGUGCGUGACCGAAUUACAAGUUUUAGAAAAUCUACUGUCAAAAAAGAAAAACCUCUUAUCCAACAUCCUAUUGAUUCUCAAGUUGCCAUGAGUGAGUUUCCAGCGGCUCAGCCAUUAUAUGAUGAACGAUCUUUAAAUUUGUCUGAAAAAGAAGUAUUGGAUCUCUUUGAAAAAAUGAUGGAGGACAUGAACCUUAAUGAAGAACGAAAAGCUCCUUUACGAAACAAAGAUUUUACCACCAAGCGUGAGAUGGUUGUCCAGUAUAUUUCUGCUACUGCCAAAUCUAUAGUUGGAAGUAAAGUUAUGGGAGGGCUGAAAAACAGCAAACAUGAGUGCACCCUGUCUUCACAAGAGUAUGUUCAUGAAUUACGAUCUGGUAUUUCAGAUGAGAAACUUCUUAACUGCCUAGAAUCUCUGAGGGUUUCUUUAACCAGCAAUCCUGUAAGCUGGGUGAACAACUUUGGCCAUGAAGGUCUUGGACUAUUGUUGGAUGUGCUGGAAAAGCUUCUGGACAAGAAACAGCAAGAAAACAUUGAUAAGAAGAAUCAGUAUAAACUUAUUCAGUGCCUCAAAGCAUUUAUGAACAAUAAGUUUGGAUUGCAAAGGAUCCUAGGAGAUGAAAGAAGUCUUUUAUUAUUGGCAAGAGCAAUUGACCCCAAACAACCCAACAUGAUGACUGAAAUAGUAAAAAUACUUUCUGCUAUUUGCAUUGUUGGGGAAGAGAACAUUCUAGAUAAACUUUUAGGAGCUAUAACUACAGCAGCAGAACGAAAUAACAGAGAACGAUUUUCACCAAUUGUGGAAGGAUUAGAAAACCAUGAAGCUUUGCAAUUACAGGUGGCUUGUAUGCAGUUUAUAAAUGCCCUGGUUACAUCUCCUUAUGAGCUUGAUUUUCGAAUACAUUUAAGGAAUGAAUUCCUUCGUUCAGGACUAAAAACAAUGUUACCUGAUCUGAAAGAAAAGGAGAAUGAUGAGCUUGAUAUUCAGUUGAAAGUAUUUGAUGAGAACAAAGAGGACGACCUAACUGAAUUAUCACACCGUCUCAAUGACAUUCGAGCAGAAAUGGAUGAUAUGAAUGAAGUAUACCAUCUUCUGUAUAACAUGUUGAAGGACACUGCUGCUGAAAAUUACUUAUUAUCCAUUCUACAACAUUUUUUGCUCAUCAGAAAUGAUUAUUAUAUCAGGCCACAGUAUUACAAAAUAAUUGAGGAGUGUGUUACACAGAUAGUGCUGCACUGCAGUGGUAUGGACCCAGAUUUCAAGUAUAGACAAAGACUAGACAUUGAUUUCACUCAUCUGAUAGACGCUUGUGUGAACAAGGCAAAAGUUGAAGAAAGUGAACAAAAAGCAGCGGAAUUUUCAAAGAAGUUUGAUGAAGAAUUCACAGCUCGACAGGAAGCUCAAGCUGAGCUUCAAAAAAGGGAAGAAAAAAUCAAAGAGCUUGAAACAGAAAUCCUGCAACUUCGAACCCAGGGACAUGGACUCUCAGGUGCAUCGGGCAUUCCCGGCCCCCCUCCACCACCUCCAUUGCCAGGUGUUGGGCCACCCUCAGCCCCACCCCCACCAGCGCCACCUCUACCUGGAGUAGGUCCUCCUCCUCCUCCACCUCCUUUACCUGGAGGGCCUGGAAUACCACCGCCUUUGUUUGGGGGACCUCCUCCACCACCUCCCCUUGGAGGAAUUCCUCCUCCUCCAGGAACAGUACUUGAUCUACCACAUGGAAUGAAGCAGAAAAAAAUAUAUAAACCUGAGGUGUCCAUGAAGAGAAUCAACUGGUCAAAGAUUGAACCCAAAGAAUUAUCUGAGAGCUGUUUCUGGUUGAAAGUUAAGGAGGACAAGUUUGAAAAUCCAGAUCUUUUUGCAAAACUGGCACUGAAUUUUGCUACACAAAUGAAAGUUCAAAAGAAUGCAGAAGCUUUAGAAGAAAAGAAGAGCCUGCCUACAAAGAAGAGAGUGAAAGAGUUGAGAAUUUUGGAUCCCAAAACAGCCCAGAAUCUGUCUAUCUUCCUAGGAUCAUAUCGUAUGCCAUAUGAAGAUAUAAAAAACAUCAUUCUGGAGGUUAAUGAAGAUAUGUUGAGUGAGGCCUUAAUUCAGAAUCUUAUAAAACAUCUUCCUGAGCAGAAGGUACUCAGUGAAUUAGCACACCUGAAGAAUGAAUAUGAUGACCUUUGUGAGCCUGAACAAUUUGGAGUUGUGAUGAGCUCAGUGAAAAUGUUGCGGCCUCGUCUCAAUAGCAUUCUUUUCAAGCUCAUGUUUGAAGAACAUGUAAACAACAUCAAACCAAGCAUCAUAGCAGUAACUCUGGCCUGUGAAGAACUGAAGAAAAGUGAAAGCUUUCACAGACUUUUAGAGUUAAUCCUUUUGGUUGGAAACUACAUGAACUCAGGCUCAAGAAAUGCCCAGUCUUUCGGUUUUAAGAUCAACUUUCUCUGUAAGAUCCGAGACACUAAAUCAGCAGAUCAAAAAACAACCCUUUUGCAUUUUAUUGCUGAAAUUUGUGAAGAAAAAUACCGGGAUAUCCUGAAAUUUCCUGAAGAACUGGAACAUGUAGAAAGUGCAAGCAAAGUUUCAGCUCAAAUUCUCAAGAGCAAUCUUGCAGCAAUGGAGCAACAAAUAGUUCAUCUGGAACGUGACAUCAAGCAAUUCCCCCAAACAGAAAAUCAGCAUGAUAAGUUUGUGGAAAAGAUGACAAGCUUUACAAAAAGUGCCAGAGACCAAUAUGAAAAACUGUAUACCAUGCACAACAACAUGGUAAAGCUCUAUGAAACUCUUGGAGAAUACUUUAUUUUUGACGCUAAGACAGUAAGCAUAGAAGAAUUUUUUGGUGAUCUCAGCAACUUCCGAACUUUGUUCCUGGAAGCAGUGAAAGAAAACAAUAAGAGAAAAGAAAUGGAAGAGAAGACUAGAAGGGCAAAGCUUGCAAAAGAAAAAGCUGAACGAGAAAAGUUGGAACGCCAGAAGAAAAAGAAACAACUCAUUGAUAUAAACAAAGAGGGUGAUGAGACUGGCGUGAUGGAUAAUCUUCUAGAAGCCCUGCAAUCAGGUGCAGCAUUCCGGGACCGCAGAAAGAGGAUUCCAAGGAAUCCAGAGAAAUAACCCAAAGAAGAGCUGUGUGAAUACAGUCAUAAGAAUGUGAUCUUUAGAGAUGACACACAGUGCAUUACCUAUGAUACAGAGGACAUCUCCACAGGCCAUAAAACAUCAGAAAUGCAGAUAACAGACGAGUACCUUUGGAAAGGUCACGCUCUCGCCACAAUUGAGCUAUCUCAUCUAAGUGAUUCCUGAUGCCAAAGAAUAUGAAAAUAUUUAAGUCAACAAAGUCAUUCAUUCUGAGAAGAACAAAACAUGCACUCAAGGGAUGGAGAAGAAAUAAGUGCGUUUCUGCAAAGAUCAAGCUGUGUAAAAUAGCGUGCAUCUCUAAAGCUACUGAAAGACUCCUCCCACAGUUAUACAAAUACAACACAAUCAUCAGGAUUAUAAAAUGUGUGUUCCAUUUUAGUGCAAAGAUGUAUAUUAUUCAUUAUUGUGUGUGGCCUGACAGUGAUAAUGAAAAGUGUGAGAAACUGAAGAGUUCUUUCUGAGGCUUUCAAAACCAUUCAGUCUGUCAAAAAUGUAUAAUGUUUCUCGAAUUUGAAGUCACUUCCCUCCCUCAAAAAGGAAGUAAAGAGAAGAAAAAGAAUAGAAAGAAUUAGUCAAUGUCUGCUUCUGAUUCCUAUUGUUAAAAAAAAAAAGGGAAAAGGCCAGGAAAAUGUGUAUGUUAAUGGUUUGGAGAAGCAUUGAUAUUGCACACUUUAUACGAGAAGUCAUUUUGGAAACUCAGAAAAAGUACUGCUUCACCCCCAUCAAGUUAUUUAGAAUCUUAUCUCAAGUGAAAGUUGAUGGAUUCAUCUGCUUUGGCUGAAAUUAAACUUAUCAUUAAUCUAGAGUUUCAGCAUGAUAUUGCAGGCACUUACCGUGGCUAAAAAUAAACCAAAGUUUAACAGAAGCAGUUAGAGAAAGUGAUUUAAACUUUAUUUAAAGAGGUAUUUUCUAAUGAUGCACAUAUAUCUACUUUAUACAAAGACUUUGUAUGGCUAUUUUUGAGAAAAACCGCAUGUUUUAAUGUUUAUGCUAGGGAUGAAUCUGCAAAUUCUGCUACCUUCAUUUAGAUUUUUAAAGGUAAAUUUUGAUUCCUAUACUCCAUGGUUUAUUUCUUCUCUUUGUUGCUUCUUUUUCCCAUGACCCCCUUAAAGGCAUGGAAUAGUGUUCUAGGAGACCUGAGAGGAAAAAGAUUCCUCUCUGCAGGAGGCAGCAGAAAACUGUCUGAAAGGUCAAUUGUUUUAUCUGCCUUUCUAAUUCCCUUUCCAAUUCUGCCUCGGUGGUCUGAAGAAGAAAAAGAAAUUAUGUGUAUGUAUCUGUAUAUAUGUGUAGAUAUUUAUAUCUCCUGCUACAAUAAUUCCACAUCCCAGUGAUUAAGUGAAUUUCUCAAUCAUUGUCAUACUUACCUUAUAGUAACAAAUUUCAGUGAUGCUGCCAAAACAACUCUAGGAGUAAAAAACAGGCUCUACAUUUUUCUUAAAUAGAUGACGGGGGAACAGUUAUACUUAACUUGACUAUUAUUUUUUAAAAUGCAUUGAAAUAAUGUGGUAUAACUUCUCUGGAGUGCAAUUUUAAGACUAAUCCAUGCAAAUGAUUGUGAUUAUUGUAAAAGAUUUCUUAUAUGUAUAUUUCUUAUAUAGAAAUCCUAUUUCUACUUCUUCAAAGCACAUUAAGACAUUCCGAAAGAACAAAUAGACUGGCUUGACAUGUCACCACCUGAGAAGCUACAAUAGUGUAAACAAGUGACCAGUAGCUCAGUUUCCUUUAUAUAGAUGUAUAGUGAUUCAAACUGCUACCUUUUCCUCCAGUACGUUCUUACUUGGGUCCUAACCUUUACAAAGUUCUAAAGCUGCUACAAUAGAGAAAUCAAAAAGAGUAACAGGAUCUGAGAUUUACAAUUUUAUCCUAUAUUAAGACAUAUACAUAUACACACACAAAAAAGUUUGAGACAUAUCUGCUUCACACAUUGUUUUUUUAAUAAUAACAACAAAGAUUUAGGUUCUACUAAUUUAUGUAAAUACUUUGUGUAUUUUUAACUUCACGAAGUCUUUUCUGAAAUCUUCAUGGUAUGGCUUUUUCGAGUCUUUUGAUAGGUUUUCAGGCUGUAGGAAAAUGAUAUUUUGAAAUAUUAACCCUGACUAAUAUUUAGGGGCAUUUGCCAUGCCAUUAUUAUCAAGCUGGUCAAGGUAGAAAUACUGAUGCAUAUCACCUUUUCCAGAUGUGAACUUGCCUUAUUUUUUAGUUUGUGAGAAAAAAAAGAAGUACUAUUAUUGAUAAAUUAUAUAUUUGUAUUUAGAGUAAUCCCACAUGCUUUUCACAAACAUUAUAAGACCUUUCAGGGUCUUUCAGGAAGUUCUGAUCACUGAAUUAAAGGGUUUGCUCCCCAGAUGUAUAAUGGUCCUGCUCUAGCCAUUUAUAGUUUUGUUUCGGAUUGAAAAUUAUCACCAAAAAAGUGCAUUAGUGACAUUUUUAGCAUAGAACCAAAUUAUACUAUAGUCUUUUGUUGAGUUUAUUACCGUCACAUUUGAGAAGCAGCACUUUAUACAGAUUUUUCAGAAAGUUUUUAAAAAGUGCAAAACCCUUAAAAAUGUUUACUGGUUGUAUUAGUUUCCUUCGUCUGCUAUAACAAAUUACCACAAACCUGGUGGCUUAACACAUCAGAAAUUUAUUCUCUAUGAGAUCUUGGAUUAUCUUUACUAUCAUUACUCUGAAUUCUUUUUCAGGUAGAUUGCCUUUCUCCACUUCACUUAGUUGUUCUUCUAGGGUUUUAUCUUAUUCGUUUGUCUAGAACAUAUUUCUCUGCCAUCUUAUUUUGUCCGGCUUUCUGUGUUUUUGGUCUCCUUUCCACAGGCUGCAUGAUCAUAGUUGUUCUUACUUCUGGUGUCUGCCUCCUGGUGGGGUUGUUCUAGGGGCUUGUGCAGGCUUCCUGAUGAAAGGGACUGGUGCCUGCCCACCGGUGGGUGCAGCUGGGUCUGGUCCCUCUGGUGGGCAGAACCACGUCAAGGGGUGUGUUUAGAGGCAGCUAUGGGCUCAGGAUGACUUUAGGCAGCCUGUCUGCUGAUGCGUGGGGCUGUGUUCCCACCCUGUUGGUUAUUUGGCCUGAGGGGUCCCAGCCCUGGAGCCUACAGCCUAUUGGGUGGGGCCAGGUUUUGGUAUCAAAAUGACAACUUCCAAGAGAGCUCAUGCCGAUGAGCACUGCUAGCAACCUCCACCAUCAGUAUUCUUAUCCCACAGUGAGCCACAGCCACUAUUUCCCCCAGGAGACCCUCAGCAGCUAGGUCUGGCCCAGGCUGCUAUGAAAUCACUGCUUUUUCUCAUAAUCCAGAUUAUCUAAAUCAGAAUUCCUUUGCAUCUGUGAAUCAGUGAAACAAGACCACAAAUUAUCUGCUUCCAAAAUACAGUGGUGGGACAGGCAUAUGGUAAUAGCUGUAGACAUUCCUAUUCCAAAAGGGAGAAAAAGGAACAGAGAAAGGAGUCACUUGUUCUGAUAAUUUUCAGAAUUCAGCCAGGAAGAAUCCAUUUAGCUUUCAAGGACUGGCAAUAAUCCUCCUUUUCUCAGAGCUACACCCUUUAGGCUGCAGCUCUGGCCUCUUGGCCUAUGGAUUGAGUCUUUGCCUAUGUGCCAUGGCUUGUACUUCUGCCUCUGAAUCUGCAGCUCUGCCCUAGGGUUGGUCCUUUCUAUUGAAGAGUAGCACCUGUUUGCAGCCUGUAAAAUUUUGGUACUCUUACAACCUUCUCUUGUUUUGUCUUGUCUCUGUCCCUUCCAGGCUAAGUCGGAACUGUUUCUGCUGGUAUAACUUUCUUCAAAACUUUGUAGGCUCCCCAUAUAUAUCACAUUGAUUCAAUAGUGAGAAAAGAAAGUCUUGACAGAUCUUUGCCAGAUGACCCCAUCUCUCUUCCUGGCUUCUACUGAGAUGGUUGUGUGGAUUAAUGAGUCAAUGGCUAAUCUCUUCAGCACCAGCCGAAUGUUAUCCAGGCUUCCUUUAUCUCCAGAGCACGCUAUCCUAAUAGUGAAUCUCCUAAUUUUAUCAUCUUUUGCAAUCUGAAUAGGCUCAGAAUUUCCUGAAUCGUCAAGUGCUGGUUCUUUUAUGCUUAACAGUUCUUUCUUCAAUUUAUCUCUUUCCUCUCAUAUAAGCUCAAGAAAAAAAAAAUAGGCUAUACUUCCAAUGUUUUGUUCUUAAAUUUCCUCAGCUAAAUAUCCAUAAUCAUUAGUUAUAGAUUUUACUUUCCACACAACUGUUGGAGAAAAUUUGGAUAAGCUUUUUUUGCCAUUGUAUAACAAGGAUCACCUUUCCUCUAGUUUCCAAUAAAAUUUUUCAGUUCCUUCUGAGCCCUCACAAGAAGCACCUUAAAUGUUCAUAUUCUUACCAACAGUCUAUUUAAGGCAAUCUAUGCUUUUUCUAUCAUAUACAUAAAAAUUCAUCUAGUCUUUACACAAUAUCUAAUUCCAAAGCCACUUACACAUUUGUAGGUAUUUGUUAGAGCAGUAUCUGACUUUCUGGUACUAAAGUCUGUAUUCUAUUCCUGUAGUUACUGUUAACAGAUUGCUCCACCUGUGGCCACUUAAGACAAGAGACAUUUAUUAUCUUACUGUUUUAGAGGCCAGAAGUCCUAAAUUGAGGUCUUGGCAGGGCUGCACUCCCUCUAGGAGAAAAUCUGUUCCUUGCCUUUCCCAGAUCCUUGUGACUGUCAUCAUUCCUUGGCUUGUGGCCAAAUCUCUGCUCUGUCUUCAUAUAACCUUUCCCUCUGUAUAUCUAAUCUACCUCUGCCUGUCUCUUAUAAAGACACUUAUGAAGGCAUUUAAGGGCCACCAGUUUAUCCAUGAUAAUCUCCUUAUCUCAAUAUCCUUAAUUUAAUUACAUCUAUGAAGACCCUUUUUCCAGAUAAGGUAAUGUCAUAGGUUCUGAGAAGUAGGAUAUGGAUGUAUCUUUGGGGAGCCACCAUGCAGCUCAUGACACUAGUCAUUGCACAUAAAUGUACUUUUCACUUUUUAAAAUGUAUCCUUGGUGCUCAAGCUAAAUUCGAGUUUGUCUCUAAAAGCUAUUGUAUGCACAAGCUACUGCAUGCUUUGAUGUUAAAUGGCUGAACAGGCUAGUCAAAAUUCAGUUGAUAAUUUUGUUACUAUGGCCAAUUAGCUUGAAAAAAAUACUUGGUUCCAAAUCUGAGCUCUGGUGUAUCUCUGCUACCCCUUUUAUGGAGUCUUUGACCAAAUGUCUUCUAUGAUUAAUAAUGUAGGUAUAAAACUACCUCUGAUAUUGAAGUGUUCUUUAUAAGUUUAUUUUAGAUAUUGUAAUCCCUCAGCUUAAAGGAGAGGUGACAGCAAGGCCUGUUUGAAUGGAUACUGAGGGAACUUGUGCCCAUACCAAGACAUUCAGAACAAGUAUUGCAAUAGCAGUAGAACCAUGGAUUCGUGUUUUUGUUUUGCUUCGGAAUAAACACCUGCCUCUUUGCAGGACCAAGAAUGACUUUCGAUCUAUCUGUAAUGCCUACUUAUUCAAUAAAGUUAAGAUUACAUUAAA